GACUCUCUAGCUCAGUUGGUUAGAGCGCUGCACCGGAAAGGCCGAGCCACAGGUUCGAUUUCUGGCAGAGGGCCU